rfam:Picea glauca, whole genome shotgun sequence.
ACAUGCCUACAACAUAGUGUUAAUGCACCGGAUCCCAUUAGAACUCUACAAUUAAGCAUGCUCAUGCUAGACUAGUAUUGGGAUGGAUGAUUUCCCAGGAAGUCCUAGUGUUUUACAUGGC